UCGGCCUGGGAUGGGCUCGCGGCCUAUCAGCUUGUUGGUGGGGUGAUGGCCUACCAAGGCGACGACGGGUAGCCGGCCUGAGAGGGCGACCGGCCACACUGGGACUGAGACACGGCCCAG
rnacentral:rRNA from 1 species